AACCCUCUGGAUUUACGGCAAGUCCCUGCCAGGCAGAGCUCCCUGCAGCACAGCACGUGGGAAGUCUUGUCACGGGGGCCAUGUGAAACGACUGGCAGGCCCAUAGCUGGGGGAUCCUCUUGCACAUAAACUUGCAGAAGAAAUGAAAGUACAGCUUUCUCAAGUUGGAUCUGAAAGCAUUAAUUUCUCCAAAACUCCGGGGAAACCAGCCACAAUUGCUGGUUAUUGCACUAGGUAUUUGCAGACAGGUUGGAGGCUUCCAGGAACCGACUUCCUCUGGGUGAAUUAGGGAAAGUGGAAACUGAAAAGCCCAGGUCUGCCUCAGUUGAACUACAAUUCCUUUAUCUUUAUUUUUCGCACUUUUUUUUUUUCUUCAGGGGAGGAGCCAAGCCUCUAUGCCCUGGCUUCUCCCUACCUCAGCUGAGCCCUUGUUGAGCGCUGCCUCCUUUAGGGUGAGCUCUGUGGUGCUUUUGUGCCUUGUAGCUGUGCUCGUUCCCACCUGCUGCUCCAUAGCACCUGUGUGUUAAAGGCUUGUCCCUUAGGCUACUGGAAGCAGAGCUGUAGCUAUAAAAAGUCUGAGCUAGAAGCAAGUAGCAUGGUAAUUGAGUUCACAGGAUUCAUAGGAUCCUGGAAUCACAGAAUGGUUUGGGUUGGAAGGGACCUUAAAGACCAUCUAAUUUAAAUCCCCAUGCCAUGGGCAGGGACACCUCCUGCUAGACCAGGUUGCCCAAAGCUCCAUCCAGCCUGGCCAGUUAUUUUUAUCAAGCUUGUCAUUGGAACUGUGGAACGCAGACAUGUCAGAGGUCUGGAGACCAGAAGGGAAGUCAGAGGUGCUGCUGUUCCAGCUGAUGACUCUAUAGAAGUCCGUGGAGAAGCGUCCUGCUCUCAUGCAAGGGAACGCAGACACAGCAGCCAUGAGCAGACACUGGCCUUGCACCUCCCGCUCGCACCCCACGUCCGUGACACCAGGUACCAGGAGGAACACCACCACAUGGAGGACACCGCAUCUGUUCUCUCAAGGCACCUCAAGUCAUGCUUGACUUGGAGCCUGGGACUCAACUUCUUCGCCUCCAGCAGAGGAGUGUUAUUUGGUUUGAUACCAUUCGUGUAUUUUUUUGCACAGAUAAGGUCUUUUUUUGCAGCUGCCCCAAAACACCGCUUCCUCUGGAGAUGA
rnacentral:lncRNA from 1 species